CUCAGAUUGAACGCUGGCGGCAGGCCUAACACAUGCAAGUCGAGCGGCAGCACAAGGGAGUUUACUCCUGAGGUGGCGAGCGGCGGACGGGUGAGUAAUGCCUAGGGAUCUGCCCAGUCGAGGGGGAUAACAGUUGGAAACGACUGCUAAUACCGCAUACGCCCUACGGGGGAAAGAGGGGGACCUUCGGGCCUCUCGCGAUUGGAUGAACCUAGGUGGGAUUAGCUAGUUGGUGAGGUAAUGGCUCACCAAGGCGACGAUCCCUAGCUGUUCUGAGAGGAUGAUCAGCCACACUGGGACUGAGACACGGCCCAGACUCCUACGGGAGGCAGCAGUGGGGAAUAUUGCACAAUGGGGGAAACCCUGAUGCAGCCAUGCCGCGUGUGUGAAGAAGGCCUUCGGGUUGUAAAGCACUUUCAGUAGGGAGGAAAGGGUGAGUCUUAAUACGGCUCAUCUGUGACGUUACCUACAGAAGAAGGACCGGCUAACUCCGUGCCAGCAGCCGCGGUAAUAC
rnacentral:rRNA from 1 species